CAUAGUUUUGAUUACUGACGGAUAGAUGUGGAGUACCACAGGGGAAUCAAGACCAUUUAUAGAAGCCGACCGUCUGGGCAACAUUU
rnacentral:ncRNA from 2 species